UGGGGGAUAUUGCACAAUGGAGGAAACUCUGAUGCAGCAACGCCGCGUGAAGGAUGAAGGUCUUCGGAUUGUAAACUUUUGUACUUGGGGACGAUAAUGACGGUACCCAAGCAGCAAGCUCCGGCUAACUACGUGCCAGCAGCCGCGGUAAUACGUAGGGAGCAAGCGUUGUCCGGAUUUACUGGGUGUAAAGGGUGCGUAGGCGGCUAUGCAAGUCAGUUGUGAAAACUAUGGGCUCAACCCAUAGCCUGCAAUUGAAACUGCGUGGCUUGAGUGAAGUAGAGGUAGGUGGAAUUCCCGGUGUAGCGGUGAAAUGCGUAGAGAUCGGGAGGAACACCAGUGGCGAAGGCGACCUACUGGGCUUUAACUGACGCUGAGGCACGAAAGCAUGGGUAGCAAACAGGAUUAGAUACCCUGGUAGUCCAUGCCGUAAACGAUGAUUACU
rnacentral:rRNA from 1 species